rnacentral:rRNA from 1 species
CACGUAGGCGGUAGGACAAGUUAGAUGUGAAAUGCCAGGGCUUAACCUUGGGACUGCAUCUAAAACUGUUUUACUAGAGUUCACUAGAGGGAAGUGGAACUUCCGGUGUAGCGGUGAAAUGCGUAGAUAUCGGAAGGAACAUCAGUGGCGAAGGCGGCUUUCUGGAGUUGAACUGACGCUAAUGUGCGAAAGCGUGGGGAGCAAACA